rnacentral:lncRNA from 1 species
UGUCCUGUUAUGAACAACAAACAUCUGCAAGCAACUGUGAGAGCAAGCAGUACUACCAGCCAGCACCUGCCUGUUCAGCUGCAACAUCCUGCUAGCGAUUCAUACUCCCCACCAACAAAUUUUGCAGGUUAACUACAUGCUGCUUGAAGAAGCACUUCUCACUUCUGGACUUCAGAAGACUUAUUGCUAAGUAGGUCCCUCUCAUCUACAGAAGCAGCUACCUUGAAUUUUAAUAAGAGGAUGAUGUUCCAAUACAAAAUGCAGUAGAGCAGCCUCUCUAUCCAGAUCUUGUACUCGGCUCCCCUUUUUCUGAAGCAGUGCUCUCUUCUCAACUUGUCCAGGUUUGUUCCUGGUGCUGGUUAACUUUGUUCAGUUCUCAAGCCUUUUUACUCUAAUCUGCAGCCUGAUUUUAUGCCAUGGAA